rnacentral:tRNA from 2 species
GGGCGAUUAGCUCAGUUGGCGAGAGCGCCUCCCUUACAAGGAGGAGGUCACCUGUUCAAUUCAGGUAUCGCCCA